AUACGUAGGGGGCGAGCGUUGUCCGGAAUGAUUGGGUGUAAAGGGCGCGUAGGCGGCCCGGUAAGUCUGGAGUGAAAGUCCUGUUUUUAAGAUGGGAAUUGCUUUGGAUACUGUCGGGCUUGAGUGCAGGAGAGGUAAGUGGAAUUCCCAGUGUAGCGGUGAAAUGCGUAGAGGUUGGGAGGAACACCAGUGGCGAAGGCGACUUACUGGACUGUAACUGACGCUGAGGCGCGAAAGUGUGGGGAGCUAACAGGAUUAGAUACCCUGGUAGUCCACACUGUAAACGAUGAAUGCUAGGUGUAGGGGGUAUCGACCCCUUCUGUGCCGCAGUCAACACAAUAAGCAUUCCGCCUGGGGAGUACGGCCGCAAGGUUGAAACUCAAAGGAAUUGACGGGG
rnacentral:rRNA from 1 species